GGCAGUUCUUGGGUGACGCACCCCAGAAUUAGGCCCCCUCCUCUCUGGUUCUGGGUGCAUCACCCGAGAACCACA
rfam:Myotis davidii contig59899, whole genome shotgun sequence.